UACGUAGGUGGCAAGCGUUGUCCGGAUUUACUGGGCGUAAAGAGCGCGCAGGCGGUCGUUCAAGUCGGGUGUGAAAGCCCCCGGCUCAACUGGGGAGGGUCACGCGAUACUGAUCGACUCGAAGGCAGGAGAGGGAAGUGGAAUUCCCGGUGUAGUGGUGAAAUGCGUAGAUAUCUGGAGGAACACCGGUGGCGAAGGCGGCAUCCUGGACCGGUAUUGACGCUGAGGCGCGAAAGCCAGGGGAGCAAACGGG
rnacentral:rRNA from 1 species